ensembl:lncRNA
GAUUGAAAAUGAAACGUGAGUCACUGGAUGGAUGAAAAAGCCUUUUUCAGCUCCAACUGAGUGACUCUCUUCAAAUCAGUCCACAACAAUAGACUCGCAGCAGACAAGAGAAAAGACAAAGGCUGGAGGCUGAUCAGACAACCGAGGAGUUGAGGGGUGAGCGGUGAGAGCUGAGCCAGAGCUCGUCAUCAGUCUGGCAGGCAAAGCUAGAAAGCUCCAACCUGGUGAUAGCAACAGCACACUGGCUCACAGGUCAGUGCUGUCAGCAGCUCAUCUGGGUUAACACUGCCUCGGCUGAGGCCUGGUGUCUUACUGAAUGAGCCCGUCGGACCCAGGCUGAGGGGCCCGUGGCAUCAGGGGACCCCUGGGCCACAGCCUCUGCAUGGAGUGACUCAAAAAAAAAGGCGCAGAAGGAAUCCCGAUCGAGGACGAAGGAUAAACGUGUCGGGUGUUGUGAGC